GGAACCUGCAGACACUUGUGGAGGAGUCGGC
rnacentral:piRNA from 1 species